ACUCCUACGGGAGGCAGCAGUGGGAAUAUUGGACAAUGGGGGAACCGUGCAUCAGCCAUGCCGCGUGUGUGAAGAAGGCCUUAUGGUUGUAAAGCACUUUAAGCGAGGAGGAGGCUACUAGUAUUAAUACUACUGGAUAGUGGACGUUACUCGCAGAAUAAGCACCGGCUAACUCUGUGCCAGCAGCCGCGGUAAUACAGAGGGUGCGAGCGUUAAUCGGAUUUACUGGGCGUAAAGCGUGCGUAGGCGGCCAUUUAAGUCAAAUGUGAAAAUCCCCGCAGCUUAACUUUAGGAAUUUGGCAAUUCUGAUACUGGAUGGCUAGAGUAUGGGAGAGGAUGGUAGAAUUCCAGGUGUAGCGGUGAAAUGCGUAGAGAUCUGGAGGAAUACCGAUGGCGAAGGCAGCCAUCUGGCCUAAUACUGACGCUGAGGUACGAAAGCAUGGGGAGCAAACAGGAUUAGAUACCCUGGUAGGCUCUG
rnacentral:rRNA from 1 species